GCUUCCUUGGCUCAGUUGGCUAGAGCGCGAGUCUCAUACUACUUGUAUGAGGUCAGUACAUGACUAUAAUCUCGAGGUCGCAAGUUCGAGCCUUGCAGGGAGCA
rnacentral:tRNA from 1 species